AUCCUUUUGCAAUUUGUCAGUGUGAUAAUUGGGUGUUCAUGCACAUAUGUGAGAUGUGCCACCCUCAAGCCUUAUUACAACGUCCACACAUUACCCAUCUGAUA
rfam:Homo sapiens chromosome 2, GRCh38 reference primary assembly.